AGCUCCAAUAGCGUAUAUUAAAGUUGCUGCAGUUAAAAAGCUCGUAGUUGCAUUUCCGAGGCAAGGGAUUAGUCCGACCUUUGGUGGGUAUUUAAUCCUCUUGCCUCGUCCUUGAGUGGUGCUUCUUGGUAUUAAGUUAUCGAGGAGAUAGCCGCUCAUCGUUUACUGUGAGAAAAUUAGAGUGUUCAAAGCAGGCUUAUGCCGUUGAAUAUAUUAGCAUGGAAUAAUAAGAUAGGACCUGGGUACUAUUUUGUUGGUUUGAGAACCAAGGUAAUGAUGAAUAGGGACAGUUGGGAGUAUUCGUAUUCAGUUGUCAGAGGUGAAAUUCUUAGAUUUACGGAAGACGAACUACUGCGAAAGCAUUUACCAAGGAUGUUUUCA
rnacentral:rRNA from 1 species